CGCUGGCGGCGUGCUUAACACAUGCAAGUCGAACGGAAAGGCCCUGCUUUUGUGGGGUGCUCGAGUGGCGAACGGGUGAGUAACACGUGAGUAACCUGCCCUUGACUUUGGGAUAACUUCAGGAAACUGGGGCUAAUACCGGAUAGGAGCUCCUGCUGCAUGGUGGGGGUUGGAAAGUUUCGGCGGUUGGGGAUGGACUCGCGGCUUAUCAGCUUGUUGGUGGGGUAGUGGCUUACCAAGGCUUUGACGGGUAGCCGGCCUGAGAGGGUGACCGGCCACAUUGGGACUGAGAUACGGCCCAGACUCCUACGGGAGGCAGCAGUGGGGAAUAUUGCACAAUGGGCGGAAGCCUGAUGCAGCAACGCCGCGUGCGGGAUGACGGCCUUCGGGUUGUAAACCGCUUUCGCCUGUGACGAAGCGUGAGUGACGGUAAUGGGUAAAGAAGCACCGGCUAACUACGUGCCAGCAGCCGCGGUGAUACGUAGGGUGCGAGCGUUGUCCGGAUUUAUUGGGCGUAAAGGGCUCGUAGGUGGUUGAUCGCGUCGGAAGUGUAAUCUUGGGGCUUAACCCUGAGCGUGCUUUCGAUACGGGUUGACUUGAGGAAGGUAGGGGAGAAUGGAAUUCCUGGUGGAGCGGUGGAAUGCGCAGAUAUCAGGAGGAACACCAGUGGCGAAGGCGGUUCUCUGGGCCUUUCCUGACGCUGAGGAGCGAAAGCGUGGGGAGCGAACAGGCUUAGAUACCCUGGUAGUCCACGCUGUAAACGGUGGGUACUAGGUGUGGGGUCCAUUCCACGGGUUCCGUGCCGUAGCUAACGCUUUAAGUACCCCGCCUGGGGAGUACGGCCGCAAGGCUAGAACUCAAAGGAAUUGACGGGGCCCCGCACAAGCGGCGGAGCAUGCGGAUUAAUUCGAUGCAACGCGUAGAACCUUACCUGGGUUUGACAUGGAUCGGGAGUGCUCAGAGAUGGGUGUGCCUCUUUUGGGGUCGGUUCACAGGUGGUGCAUGGCUGUCGUCAGCUCGUGUCGUGAGAUGUUGGGUUAAGUCCCGCAACGAGCGCAACCCUUGUUCACUGUUGCCAGCACGUUAUGGUGGGGACUCAGUGGAGACCGCCGGGGUCAACUCGGAGGAAGGUGGGGAUGACGUCAAGUCAUCAUGCCCCUUAUGUCCAGGGCUUCACGCAUGCUACAAUGGCUGGUACAGAGAGUGGCGAGCCUGUGAGGGUGAGCGAAUCUCGGAAAGCCGGUCUCAGUUCGGAUUGGGGUCUGCAACUCGACCUCAUGAAGUCGGAGUCGCUAGUAAUCGCAGAUCAGCAACGCUGCGGUGAAUACGUUCCCGGGGCUUGUACACACCGCCCGUCAAGUCAUGAAAGUUGGUAACACCCGAAGCCGGUGGCCUAACCGUUGUGGGGGAGCCGUCGAAGGUGGGACUGGUGAUUAGG
rnacentral:rRNA from 1 species